UUUCAUCAGUCGAGCAAACGAUCUUCUUUACUUGGACAUUUGGGCUUCUGCUUGUGGAUUUCUUAGUAGGCUCUACUGCUGGCACCAUGCCUUAUCAUGAUGAGGAGUACCCCGGUCAGCCUCUGUGGCAGUCUGUGCUGCUUUUCUGCUGCAAGGGCAUGAUCGAGGGCAUCAUGGUCAUUCUGUUCUUCUGGCUUCUGGUUCAGGUCCUGUUCACCAAACAGUUAGAAGUUCAUCUCCAGAUUCUUCUUCUGGUUGGGCUGAUCACCUUUUGUCUGUGUUUGGUCCUGGGAUGCCUUCUGUGCUUGUGGAAAAGUAAAGUUUCUCGAGUGAAAGACAAAGCUCCUGCGACAUCAGCACCAGCUCCUGCUGAACCUGUGUCCUUUGCUCAGACCUCACCUUCUCCCUCAGCAGGAGCAACAGCAUCAGCAUCCAAGCAGCAGUUUGCUGAGCUGGAUGAAGAAGUGCUGGAGUACCCGUCCACUUUUAGCAGCGCUGCUACUUCAGAGGGUGAAUUUGGCUCUCUGGCAUUUUCAAAUCAAACUUCCUGUGAACAAAAGGAGCCUCCAAAGUCUUAUUUUUCCCUGCGCCGCCUCAGCACACCUCUGCUUUCAUCACCCCUUUAUAAACCAUUAGACCAGAGUCAUAGCUCGCUGCCUUCCUUUCCCAAACUGGGACUACUGGCCAAAACACGCAAGGCCCUGCAGCGACGCUGCACUGUAACUGGGGAAGACAUAUCUUAUAAUGAGCACACUAGACUCACCAGACCCAGUGCUGGCUCUCCUUCUACAAAAGAAAAACCUAUCCCAUUGGCCCCACUAAGCUAUGGCUCCAGUGCAAGCUGCCAACAUCCAAUAUCACCAAAACCCUGCCUCCACUUCACUAUGGCCUUCUCUCCAGGGCAGCAAACCCUGACAGUCACUGUCCUCAGCCUCAGUGGGACGCCUCACAGGCUGGAAGAUGUGUCUGUGCAGGGCAGCCUACCACCUCUCUGCCCCUUUCCUAUGAAAGCCGCUGUGCAGAGCAGCUCCAGCUCUGAAGCCCACAGCCUGGUGCUAAUUUUUAAGGUGAGCUCUGUGGAGGAGCUCCAAAGGUGUGUACUGAAGGUAGCUGUGAAUGCACGAGAACCAGCGAGCCCCAGACGCAGUUCUCUGGGUGAACUGGAAGCCGAGUGUGCAGGAAGAGACUGGACACCACAGACGCCACUUCACUUAACAAAAGAACUCAAUCGAAGCAAGUAGAAAAUAAAAAAGAGUCUGACCUCUCAGGAUGCACUGAUGUGUAAGGGGCUUAGCUGUCCUCCACAGAUCUUCAUUUUGCUUCAUUAUCAGACUGUCGCACUCUGUUAAAGUCACGGUCCUCAGAGCUGAUAAUCUAGACAGCCUUGUUUCUACAUCAGUGGCAGCAGACUACCAGGUGAUCAAUCUGCACCACGAGGGAGUUUUGAUGAGCAGCAGAGAGACUAAAGCAGGGUCCUGUACUGUGUGGAACACUUCUUUCCUGUUUGACCUGCCUCCAGGAGACAUCAGUCAGCUGCCCCUCAUGCUUGAAUUUGUAAUAAACCAGAAUGCAGUCCUUUCAGAAGCCAGAGUUGUUGGCCGAGUCUUCGUUGGAGCAGAGGUUGCAGAUGCAGGACGUGCUCAUUGGAGAGACAUGUGCAGCCAGCAUGUGGAGCAGGCACGAUGGCACACUAUUCAACCUGAAACCGCAAUAGAAUAAGGCUGUUUGAUGACCAAUGGAGCGGAUUUACUGUUGAGCUCUUUGGGCAACAAAAACGGUCAGACAUGAAGCGCGUAUGGAUAGAGUCAACCUGUGAUCUAGUUCACCUCAAGGUGCUGUCUACACUCAAGAUGAUACACACCCUCCUAAUCUGGCAGCUUACUUGGACUUCAAAAAUUUCCAUCUAUGGCAUCCCAGUGGAGCUGCCCCCCAGCACUGCUGCUGUUUCAGUUCCUCCACCACCUCACUGUCAAAAUGGGGAUUUAAGGAGGUGUUAUUAACUCAUCGGCUCUGACAGAUGUUUGAAAGGAGUGAUGAGCUUGCAGCCAAACUCUGUAUCCUGGAGUUGUCUGACUGAAUUGUUGUUUAGGUAUAUGAAAUGCCUGUGUUCAGUGAAACUCUGAGAAAUCAGUUCUUUCAACAUGGCCUUAUUUCAGCAUAUCAGUCACUACAUUCUUCUAUGCAAAAUGUAGAAAGUUGCUUUUAGUGUACGUUUCUGUAAAGCAAAGCCCAGGAUAAACCUUUUAAUUGUG